rnacentral:rRNA from 1 species
ACACGGGGGGCGCAAGCGUUAUUCGGAAUUAUUGGGCGUAAAGGGCGCGUAGGCGGUCUUGUCGGUCAGAUGUGAAGGCCCAGGGCUCAACCCUGGACGUGCAUUUGAAACAGCAAGACUUGAGUACGGGAGAGGAAAGCGGAAUUCCUGGUGUAGAGGUGAAAUUCGUAGAUAUCAGGAGGAACACCGAUGGCGAAGGCAGCUUUCUGGACCGAUACUGACGCUGAGGCGCGAAGGCGUGGGUAGCGAACAGGAUUAGAAACCCCAGUAGUCC